rnacentral:rRNA from 1 species
AUUGAACGCUGGCGGCAUGCCUUACACAUGCAAGUCGAACGGCAGCACGGGGCAACCUGGUGGCGAGUGGCGAACGGGUGAGUAAUGCAUCGGAACGUGCCAUUGAGUGGGGGAUAACGUAGCGAAAGUUGCGCUAAUACCGCAUAUUCUGUGAGCAGGAAAGCAGGGGACCGCAAGGCCUUGCGCUCUUUGAGCGGCCGAUGUCAGAUUAGCUAGUUGGUGAGGUAACGGCUUACCAAGGCGACGAUCUGUAGCGGGUCUGAGAGGAUGAUCCGCCACACUGGAACUGAGACACGGUCCAGACUCCUACGGGAGGCAGCAGUGGGGAAUUUUGGACAAUGGCGCAAGCCUGAUCAGCCAUGCCGCGUGAGUG